GAGCCCGCGAGGUUUUAUUAUCAUUCUCGCGGGCUCUAGCCUUUCUCUACCCAUCUCUCCCUCCCUCUCUCUUUCUCCAUCUCAUGCUACAGAAAUCUGAAAAGGAGAUGGUUUCUCCAUACAGUGAAGAAAGAAUAUCAUGCUAACAGAAUCUGCCGAAGCUCGACCAGCAACUCCUCCUCCACUCUCCUUCUUACUUUGGUUACCAAAUGAUCCCUUAGGGGUCGAUUAGAUGCCUGUAGGUUUGGAUCUUCAGAGGUUGCUCAGGUGGCAGAUCCUCAGGCAAAAGUCUAUGCAAUUCCUAAGGCAUCGGUUCUGCAACUAGCUCCACACACACAACACCGACUUAAAGGGCUUGAAGCUAGAAUCAUGAAGUGCAAUGGCUUACUCUUCUCAACUGAUUCACUACAUCUCUUCGUAUCAUUAGAUUUUGCCUCCAUCAGCCCAUGCAGUAACAUCUACUGCAUCAAAGUUUCUGCUGAAAUGGUUGUUUCAGUAUGAACAUGAGCACAGACAAUGGUCGGCCGCUAUCUCUUUGGGACUGAUAUCAAGUUGUUUACAUACAACGGAUUCAAGACAAAUUCCAAAUCAUCAUCGGACUUCUUGAGCUUGUAGAUGACAAUGAUUGGUAUACGGAUUCCAUAUUCCUUCUGGGACAUUCAUCAUGACAUCGACCUCACUUGUAUAUUUCCAGAAGACAGGAGCAUCUGGCCAGAAGUUUCAGCUACAUAUUAUCCUUUCCUCCAUCUUCUACAAAUGAUCAAUUUCCUGACAUAAAUGCAGUGUGGUUUAGGAUAUGAUAAGGACAUAUCUUCAUCCUUCAACCUCAUUAUCGUUGUCUUGAAGACUAUAAUUUUGUUUGUGCCUCUGCCUGCAAGUUUUACAAGGCCAUUAUGUUGAUUGGGAAGGAGGGCAGUAAGGGCUAUUGGAAAGGCAAUCUAGCACAGGAAAGGAUGGGGAGAGCUCUGUUGUUGGGUGACUGGAAGUAGGGGCUUGAGCUGGUGACCCACCAUCAAGUCCAAUUUCAUUCUUUUUCUUUUCUUUUCUUUCACUAUAUGAUACUUUCUAUUGUUGCUUGAAUAUACAUUGCAGCCAUUUUAUUUUUAUUUUUUUCCGGAA